rnacentral:pre_miRNA from 1 species
UUUCUACUUUCUCGGUCCAACAAAAGAUGCCGCAAGUUUAUCAAAAUUUGGAUGUAUCUAAACAUGACUUAGUGUAUAGAUGCAUUCGAAUUUGAUCAAAGUUAAAGUUAAGACAUCUUUUGUUGGACGGAGGAAGUAUAAA